UACAGAGGGUGCAAGCGUUGUUCGGAAUCAUUGGGCGUAAAGGGCGUGCAGGCGGUCUGUUAAGUGCAGGGUGAAAGCUCCCGGCUCAACUGGGAGAGGUCCUUGCAUACUGGCGGACUUGAGGGGGGUAGAGGAAAGUGGAAUUCCCGGUGUAGUGGUGAUAUGCGUAGAUAUCGGGAGGAACACCUGUGGCGAAGGCGGCUUUCUGGGCCCUACCUGACGCUGAGACGCGAAAGCGUGGGGAGCGAACCGG
rnacentral:rRNA from 1 species